ensembl:lncRNA
CUUCCACGCGAGCUGAAUUCCCUCCCGCAUUCCACCGGGGCGGUGGGAACUGCGGGCUCCGGGAGGCGCUCGGGCUCCGAGCAGCGACUCAGCCCCUCACUCUUCCCUCCGCAGUGCCGCGGCCGCCCAGCCAGGAUUCCCGCGGGUCUCAGCGGCCGCGAGCGCGAGGCGGCGCGGAUUCCCGGCGCGGUACCGGCGCUGCUGCUCACCUCUCUCGCGUCGCCUCCCGCGGCUUCCACCUUGCACCUGGCGUUCCUCUGCGCGCCUGCUGGGCCCAUCUCUGGUUUCCCUUUUCUGCUUCUAGACCCCGCGUCACAACUGCGCAGACCUCUGCGGUCAGGAAAGCGCGUCGGGCGCGGGCAGAGUUGGAUCCGCUCGGGCUUCACGCUUUCACGCUUCGCGCGGGCAUCUCUUCCUCCUCCCGGGCACCGAGGCCAGGUUGGUUGGGCCCAACUGGGAAGUUCUCUACCAUCUGGUGGAGUUUAGGUCACUUAUGUGGCUGCACUCAUCUGGGAGCUACCUGCAGCUGAAACACUCGAGAUGGCCGCUCGUCCUCCAGAGCUUCUACCCACCUGGGCUCUAACCAUUCAGUCAUCUGGCUUUGGCUUCCUCAUGCUAUGGCAGUUGGGCUCCAAGAAGAGAGAAGUGGAACUGGCCAUUCCCUUUAAGGCUUGGACUUCACUUCUGUCACACACUGUUGGUCAAAGCAAGUCACAGGCCUAAUGAUUCAAGGGGAGGGGAACUAGGCUGCACCUGUUUCUAGGGACAAAAGGAAGAGGUUGAUGACCAUUGGACACUAUCUAUCUCCCACAGCAUGUGGCAGUAAUUAUACAGGGAGCUCCUGGAGGGCAAGGAUCCAGCUAUAUAUCCACUCUUCCCAAGCCCACACGGUCAGAGAUUUCAGGAUACAGUGUGAACUCCAGCUUCAAUAUUCCUCAUACUGGAAUGUUGGUCUGGGAGAGGGUCGAGAGGUGGUGGAGUCAAGCCCAGGCUGUCGGCUGCCUCUGUUGGGACUCUUUAAUUUCAAGAUAGUGCAUCUAAAUGCUGUCUGGAAGUCUUUUUCUGGGCAUAGGUUAUGCCCCCUGCGGCAUGAUGGGCACAUUUCAUUCAGCCACAUGGUUACACAGAGCCCUGGAUCCAAACACAGACUUAAUAAUUAAAGCCUGUCUCUUCUCUCUCUUGUCAUUGUACAUUUAGAGCAUGUGGAAGUCAUUAGUGUUGUUUGUCAAAUAUUUCUGGCUGUGCACCUGCUGAACACAUGGCAGGAUUGCACUUCUUGGCCCUCUUGUGGUUGGGUGCAGCCUUGUGAUGAUUUCUGGCCAAUGAGUUGUGAAUGGAAGUGCCUUGUGCCUUGUAUGGACAUUUAAUGGCUUUGUGAAGCCUCCAGAGCUCUCUUUCCCUCUGCUUUUGUGCUGGCAAUGUUAGAGAUGGUAUCUGCUCCACUGGGCCAAUGAAGACAUGAGAAGCAGAGCCUCAUUCAACCCAUGAUGUGCAAAUGGCAAGUGAGCAACAAUCUUUUUGUCUUGUUUUGUUUUAAGCCACUAAAAUUAAGGAGUGGUUUAUUAUGGUAGCUUGACCUCAUCUUUCCUGUCUGAUACAAGGGUCCUGGCUUAACCCAGGCUGAGCUCAUCUUGGUAUCAGAUGGAUGUGGAGUGGCACAGGGGUGGGGCAUGGAGUAAAGAGUGUACCUUUGGAAAAGAAGAAGAGGUUGGAGUAGAUGUUGGGGUGAGGAUUCUACACAUGGACCACAAAAUAUAAGCAAGUAAUAUAUUAACGUGUGUCCAGAGUUACAAAAGCUUAGUAUUGAAAUGGAAAGGACUAAAUAUUCAGGAAAGUUGGAAUAUUAAAAAAAAUUCCUGCCCCUGCCUGCUAUGUGUAUAUUGCCUCCUGUGACAGUCCCCUCAUUCACUGCUGGGGCUUUGAGUAGCUGUCUUAAAGGCAAGUGAUUUGAAUGCCCAGACAUUUGCAUAUGGGCUUCCCUUCUGUUGCUUUCUUUAUUCUAGCUCAGUGGCUCUCUAACUUUAGUGUGCCUAAAAAUUUCUGUUCAUGGCUGUAUAAACAAAUCCAUGGAUACUGUACUUUGUGAGUGGUUUCAGUGUUUUUCAAGGGUACUUUUGACUACACAAAAUUCUUGUCUUAGGCACAGACUUCCAGUCUAAUCCCUGUGUAUGAUGAGAUUCCAUUGUUCCAAACCAAAAGAACCUUGAAAGUUUUAUGAGAUGCUGAGAACACAAGAUGUCAGUGGCAGCUGCUCUUAGCCCGUUAUCCACCUAUCACCUGAGUCCUUUCGGUUUUCCACCCACAGUAUAAGCCUUCAUCAUCUUUUUCCUGGAUUCCUAUGAAGGGCUCCUAACUCAUCAUUUUGCUUCUAUUCCUUUUCCUCCUAAUACAUUGUCCACAUCACAGCCAAAGCGAGCCCUUCCAAGCACCAAUCUGGGCAUGUUGCUUCCCCAGUGUAAAUCCUUUCAGGGCCCCAACCCCGAUUGCUUUUAUUGGGAAGACCAGCAUCUGACUGUAUCCCCACGACUGCAGGGCUUGGCUUUGCCUGCCUCUCCAGCCUCGUAUCAUGGCAGGCUCUCCUCUGGCCUUUUGCUUCCACCAAAAUGUUCAUGUUCCUGUCCCCCAACUCAGAGCCUUGGCACCUGUUGUACCAUCUGCUGGGAAUGCUCUCCCCCCGCCCUUCUCUUUUUGCCUGGUUAACUCCUCUCAUGCUUCAGAUGUCAGUUCAAAUGUUACAUCUUCAAAGAAGCAUUUAAGCCAGCUUAUUCUUUAUUUGCUCUCAUAGAAUGUGUUGCUUUCCUUCAGAAUAUUUAUGCCAGUUUGUAAUUAUACACUAAUUUGUUUGAUUAUCUGAUGAACACUUGUUUCUUCCACUAGAAUGUAAGCCCUAGGAGAGCAGGGGCCGUGACUUCCUUGUUACUCUUGUAUUCUCAGCACACGCAGUGUAUAUUUGCUGCAUGAAUGAUGGGAUGGUACUGGUAGUGGUUCAGUGGCAGUGACAGUGGCGGCAGCACCUGAUAACAGCAAUGGCAUAUCCGUUUCUCUCUGUAUGAAGCUAUUGUUUGCUCUAAAUUUUACCUGAGCUUCUGUGGCCUGGGAAAUAAACAUUAUCAUCAGAUACAAAAACAAAACCCUGGGAAUAGACAAGAUUCAGGGCCUGAGAGUGGUUGCAUCUGGUCCAGAGCUUGUUCUCCAGAUUCUAGUCAUAGAGUUCUUCUUCAGAACCCAUACCAUUUUCCAGCCUGUACUUUGACAAACAGGAGAUGUCCCCUGAGGGCUCCAGUGUGAAUAAUUUGUGGGGUAAAGGUACCACCUCUUACCUCUCCUCUUUUGUUUCCUUUUCGACACUCUCUUCCUUUUACUCUGAUUCAAAAGAAUUUUUUUUUGAUAUAAGGGGAGCAUAGGUGAGACUUUAAAAAAUCGUGAUGAGAGAACAAGAAGAAACUGAGCCUUGGAAAACAGCCUUGGUUGGCCUGUGGGGUCAGUGCAGACCCAUAGGUGUUGUUAAGGUGGAAGAGCUCCGACUGAGGGAAAUAUAUUAAUAUCAGAUUAUGUUUGUCUUGGGGCUUGGGAGCCUGAUCAUACCUCUGUGGGUAGGGGAGUCAGACUUAGAAAGGAGUGACAUUCCCACCAGCUUCAAUAGUUCUGGGGAAAGGUUCAUCCUGGGACAGUAAACAAAGAGGUAUGAGGCAGAACUUAGCCUUAGGGGAAAUUUUCUUUUGUUUCUUAGAGAGUUGGAUCAAUUUGUUCUGGAUUCUAAGACAUGGAGGUAAUAGAGUAUUAUGUUAGUUAACAUUAGGGCAGAUGUUUUUAUUUUUCCCUAGAAAUUUCUUUUUUUUUCUCCUUAAAUUCUUUUAUUGGUACAUUUUAGGUAUACAAUAGAUUUACAUUUAUCAUUGGGUGCUUGUACCUGUACAUGAUGGAUCUUGGUUCUUAUUUUUUCCCCAUUCCCCGUCCUCCCUUCACCCCCUCCACCCUUCCCUAUUUACGAAGACUUUGUUUCCAUUUUUUCCUUUUCUCAUAAUUUUUCCUGUUGUUUUAACAGAAAAGCCUUUAACAUCUCAGUAUCUUAACAGAAUCAAUGUUUAUUUCUUGCUUCCAAAAUAAAGGUCCUGAUAAGGAAUGGCUUUCUUCCAAGUGGCAGCUAGGGAACUGGGCUCCUUUCAUUUUGUGGCUUUCUCAUAGUUAACAUGUGAAUCUCAAGGUCACCGUACAAGUAGGAAGAUGAACUUGGGUCAGAUCUCAGCAUGGCUUAAACAGGGAGAUCCAGAUCCCGCUCCAGGAAGGAUUAGCUUAUCACUGAAAGAGCUGCAUGAGUUGCCAAUAUGUACCAGUAGGAACCAAGAAGGACUUAUAGAAGCAGGUGCCGAAGGUUUUGAACUUGUGUAGGGUUGAGGUGGGAACAUAAGCCUGGAGUAAGGAGCUUAUUGACAAAGGGAUACUUCCCUGGAAAGUUCUAAUAUGCUUGCUGCUAGAAUAUAUCCAUGGAGCUUGGGGCUGCAGUGAAUUAGAGGGUGAUGCUGGAAUUGCCUUCCUAGAGUAUUAAGGAAGGGAUCAGAGGAUUUAGAGCUGUGAAGUGAGACUAUGACAAGAGCCGACUAUGUCUUCUAGAAGGGUCCAGAGGACACUGCCUUCACUAGAGCAGCAAGAAUUCACUAGUCUGGUCUAUGGAACACUACCGAGGAGCUCAGUAGGGGGUGUCUUCUAUAGCCAAGGGUUGAUGGUAAGAGAUGCUGCCAUGGAACUAGAUUCCUUGAAGAAAACGGGAAUGAUGGGUUUUUGUAAUAGCAGAGGCCAGGAGCAGGCAGGUAACUGACAAAAAACAUAGACUUACUUACCACAUAAAGCAGUAGAGCCAAGUGUCACCUAAGAGCCUUGUCCCAAAGGUUGUGCUGAUAGCUAAGGAGUUAGACAUAUAGGCAGCCAACAAGGGACAAAUCAAGGUUUAUGGCAGCUCCCAUACCAGAAAAAAACGAAUCUUUAUUCAUUUUGCAGUUCUGAGCCACUUUUUGAACCUAGAGUCUAUUUACUGAAGGGGAGGGCAAGUCCCUUUAAAGAAGGACUUGACCAUGCCAAUUUGAUAUAUAGAAUAAACAUUUCCCCAACUUUCCCCCAAAGAGAUCUACUUUAUCAAGCAACUGUGUAUUUAGGAAAGAGGGAACUAACUAUAAGAAUUGUGAGGGCUGCUGGAUACAAGGUCUGGGUUGGGAAAUCAAACACCACAGUAACCUCCAUAUUAGAGUUGGGACUUAUUAAAGCUAGGUGAGGGCUGGGGAUUUAGCUCAGUGGUUCCACUGCCUGCCUUGCCCCGAGUUCUAUCCCCGGUACCAAAAAAAAGGCUAGGUGAUAAGGGAGCCCUGGCUUAAUUCUGUCUUGUAGUGGGUCCAAGGGAUCCCCACACUGAUUCUUUGUUUUUUUUUUUCUUCCUCCCCUGGAUUCUGAGUAUAUAAUUAGUAUAGAUAUAAUUAGUAGUUGCCAAAACCUUCACAUUGAUUUCCUUGACUAUUAUGAUAAGAAGCCCAAGUGGAGCCCUUUCAAAAUGUUAUCUCCUUGGGUAAGAUAUUAAGUUCAAAUUCAUGCCAUAUCUCAGGUGGGUUUGUGGAAAUUAGCGCCAGCAUCAAAGUUGAAGGAUUUUGGGAUUGUUUUCUCCCAUCACACUCCCAUUCCAUUCAUUGGUUGGGCUCCUGAAAAAUCCAGAUCGUUCUAAGAUAAUGACAGUGAACUCUCAAAACAAGUGGUAGUCUCAAUUGUAGCUACUGUGCUGGAUAUAUUAUCUUUACUAGAAAAGAUCAACAUAGCCUGCAGCAUUUGAUAUGCAACAUUUGAUCUUUUCAAUUCACAUCAGGAAAAAGGAUUAGAGGCAGUUUGUAUUCACAUGGGAAAGAUAGCAAUAUAUAGUCACUGUCUUGCCCCAAGGCUAUGUUGAUUUUCUUGCUCUCUGUUGUAAUAUACAGUAGUCUAAUGGGCCUUUGGUUGUCUUGCCAAUCCAAAAACAUCAGGCUGUUUCACUAUUUUGAGGGUAUCAUUUUCUUUGAACCCAGUGAGCAGGAAUUGGCAAAUACUUGGAUGCUCUACUAAGAGACAUGCUAAUGAAGAGGUGGGAGACAAACCCUGCAAAGAGUCAGGUUGAACACAUUGCCAUUGGAGGCCUUGAUCCUUGACUCUCUUAUAGUCAUAGUGGCUGAUGGGCCUCUUUGGGGUGUUGAGGCAGUAGCUAGUGCUCUAAUCAAUUUAUUCUGUGGCCUAGAAGGUUGCCAGUGUUGAAUGGGUUCUAGAUCAGAAGAAAGUACAGCUGUGACUCUGAGCUGCAGUAUAACUUGUUUGACUUCUAGGGCCAUGCGACCUGGUAAAUACAACAGUGUUAGAGAUAUCUAUGGUAGAAUCUGACAAGCUGUAUUAGGAGACUCAUAGGGAAAAUACUUAGAGUUAUGGAGCAAGGCUAUGCCUUCUAUGGCAGAGAACUAUUGAGUGCUUGACAAUCAGAACCUGGAGCAGUACUGGGCCCUCACAUAGACUGAACAUUGAUCAUGGACUAUCAAGUGACUAUAUGGUGAGAGUUGCCCACAUUGAACUAAGUGUUAUCGUAUCUGAGUCACAAGGCUGGGGAGAUGCAUUAGCAAUCCAUUGUAAUGUGAGAAUUGUAUGUUGGAGUCAGAUCUGAACAGGUUCAGAGGUUCAAGUAAGUACAUGCACAGGUGGCUUAGCCACUUAUGUUAUUUAUCUUGUUUGAGACAACACCUUCCUCUCAGGUCAUAUCUAUUCUCUUGUCAGGAGAUUCCCAUGGCCAGCUGGUGGAGGAAGAAAUAUCUCACAUUAGUUCACAGAUAGAUCAGUUCAACAUAUUAGUUAUAGAGGUUAAACAUUUAGGAGUCUUUCACUAGGUAGAGGUUUAAGCUGUGCAGUUUGAUCAUCAGCUUUUUUUUUUUUUUUU